rnacentral:rRNA from 1 species
CCUACGGGUGGCAGCAGUAGGGAAUAUUGCUCAAUGGGGGAAACCCUGAAGCAGCAACGCCGCGUGGAGGAUGAAGGUUUUCGGAUUGUAAACCCCUUUUGUUAGAGAAGAUAAUGACGGUAUCUAACGAAUAAGCACCGUCUAACUCCGUGCCAGCAGCCGCGGUAAUACGGAGGGUGCCAGCGUUACUCGGAAUCACUGGGCGUAAAGAGCGCGUAGGCGGGUUAGCAAGUCAGAUGUGAAAUCCUAUGGCUUAACCAUAGAACUGCAUUUGAAACUGGUAGUCUAGAGUAUGGGAGAGGUAGGUGGAAUUCGUGGUGUAGGGGUAAAAUGCGUAGAGAUCAAGAGGAAUACUCAUUGCGAAGGCGGCCUGCUAGAACAUAACUGACGCUGAUGCGCGAAAGCGUGGGGAGCAAACAGGAUUAGAUACCCCUGUAGUC